CUUGAAACCUCUGCUGAAUAGGGUGUUGUGUUAGAGGGGAAAUGAAUGCGGUGUACUGCCCAGGCGCUCGGGAAGAUAGAAGCUGCUCCUGAGAACACCAGCUGAAAGUAAAUGUCGUUGAGGACCCCAGCAUUCUCAUUAAUACAUACAUAGGCUUGGCCAUCCAGGCUUCAGAACCUGUGUGAAAGAGAUGCUGGAACAUUCAGCAGACACCAGGGAAGCAGAGGAUACAAGGUUGGAUGUGAAAUAGCAACAUCUUCUGCAUUGAAGAAUAAUAAAACAAUAUUUUUAAUUACAAAAGAAAGUGUGUAAGAAAACUGUAAAAAUAUGUGGGGCAAGUUUGUGGGGGGUCCUUCUAAGCUACAACGCUUUACACAGGUCUGUACAUGUGGAACUGAACGGAGACUGUUCACU